rnacentral:rRNA from 1 species
CUUCGGGAGUACAUCAGCGGCGAACGGGUGAGUAACACGUGGGUGACUUGCCCCGAAGAUGGGGAUAAGCUCUGGAAACGGGGGCUAAUACCCAAUGUGCUCGGUGAUUCGGUUCAUCGAGUAAAGCUCCGGCGCUUCGGGAGAGGCCUGCGGNCCAUCAGCUAGUUGGUAGGGUAACGGCCUACCAAGGCAGAGACGGGUAGGGGGCGUGAGAGCGCGGACCCCCACACUGGCACUGAGAUACGGGCCAGACUCCUACGGGAGGCAGCAGUAAGGGAUAUUGCGCAAUGGACGAAAGUCAGACGCAGCGACGCCGCGUGGGCGAUGAAGGCCUUCGGGUUGUAAAGCCCUUUUAUGGGGGAAGAGAAAAAGGACGGUACCCCAGGAAUAAGUCCCGGCUAACUACGUGCCAGCAGCCGCGGUAAAACGUAGGGGACAAGCGUUAUCCGGAUUCACUGGGCGUAAAGAGCGUUGAGGCGGUUCCGUAAGUUGGGCGUGAAAGCUCCGGGCUUAACUCGGAGAUGUCGUUCAAUACUGCGGGGCUUGAGGACAGCAGAGGAAGGUGGAAUUCCCGGUGUAGUGGUGAAAUGCGUAGAUAUCGGGAGGAACACCCGUGGCGAAGGCGGCCUUCUGGGCUGUUCCUGACGCUGAAGGCGAAAGCUAGGGGAGCGAACGGGAUUAGAUACCCCGGUAGUCCUAGCUGUAAACGAUGGAUGCUGGGUGUGGGGGGUGUAAAUUCCCUCUGUGCCGAAGCAAACGCGUUAAGCAUCCCGCCUGGGGACUACGGCCGCAAGGCUAAAACUCAAACGAAUUGACGGGGGCCCGCACAAGCAGCGGAGCGUGUGGUUUAAUUCGAUGCUACACGAAGAACCUUACCUGGGUUUGACAUGCACGUGGUAGGGAACCGAAAGGGGACCGACCUUCGGGAGCGUGCACAGGUGCUGCAUGGCUGUCGUCAGCUCGUGCCGUGAGGUGUCGGGUUAAGUCCCGUAACGAGCGCAACCCUUGCCCUUAGUUACAAGUGUCUAAGGGGACUGCCCGGGACAACUGGGAGGAAGGUGGGGAUGACGUCAAGUCAGCAUGGCCUUUAUAUCCAGGGCUACACACACGCUACAAUGGCCGGUACAAUAGGUUGCGAAGUCGUGAGGCGGAGCCAAUC